GAAGGACAUUCUUAACAGCCUCAUUCGACGUGAACCUGGCUGCCCAUCCAACAAGGUUCGGAGUUUUUGCUGGUUCUACCAAUUCCAGGCCACAUAGUUUCCCUGUAGCCUUUAUAAAUUCCAAGCAGCUUCCGAGAGCAAUAUCAAGGUAUCCAAUAUUAUUCCCUCCGAAGUAGGCCUUCCCUUCGCUAAUUUUUGUAAACGCCUCUUCCAAAAGCACCAAUCCUUCCCCUAUUCUCUCUUUGAUUGCCGCCUUCCCCUCUUCUGGGGCAACUAUGAGCUCCUUUAACAUUGGAACCAUCUGCAAAUAUUCAAAGAAAAUGACACUAAUCUUAGAUGUACAACUAAGGCGUGCCAUGGGCAGUGGCGGAUCUAGGAUUCAAAUCUUGAGUGGUUACUAAGCAAAUUUUCGUAAAACACCUAUAUAUUUUAAAUUUUAGGAAAUACUUCUGUAAUUUUGUAAAAUUUAGAAUACUAAAAAAAUGUCGAAAAAAUUUUAGAAAAACAACUGUCACCCGUGCCUCUAACUAAAUCCGUCUCUGGUCAUAAACAACAAUUGUUCAACCAACAACCUCUUAGUUAGAUGGUAUCUUAUCCGAAUGGUCAAAUCUUGUCAAAAACAUGACAGGUGCCUGAACGUGUUUAAUUAUUUACAAGUACGAGCAAGCAGAGCGGAGAAAUGUACCUUGUCAUCAACAAAUGCAGCCCAGAAUCGAG
rnacentral:lncRNA from 1 species